AUUGAACGCUGGCGGCAGGCCUAACACAUGCAAGUCGAGCGGAUGAAGGGAGCUUGCUCCUGGAUUCAGCGGCGGACGGGUGAGUAAUGCCUAGGAAUCUGCCUGGUAGUGGGGAUAACGUCCGGAAACGGGCGCUAAUACCGCAUACGUCCUGAGGGAGAAAGUGGGGGAUCUUCGGACCUCACGCUAUCAGAUGAGCCUAGGUCGGAUUAGCUAGUUGGUGGGGUAAAGGCCUACCAAGGCGACGAUCCGUAACUGGUCUGAGAGGAUGAUCAGUCACACUGGAACUGAGACACGGUCCAGACUCCUACGGGAGGCAGCGGUGGGAAUAUUGGACAAUGGGCGAAAGCCUGAUCCAGCCAUGCCGCGUGUGUGAAGAAGGUCUUCGGAUUGUAAAGCACUUUAAGUUGGGAGGAAGGGCAGUAAGUUAAUACCUUGCUGUUUUGACGUUACCAACAGAAUAAGCACCGGCUAACUUCGUG
rnacentral:rRNA from 1 species